CACGGGGGGAGCAAGCGUUGUUCGGAUUUACUGGGCGUAAAGGGCGCGUAGGCGGUCAGCACAAGUCAGUUGUGAAAUCUCCGGGCUUAACUCGGAAAGGUCAACUGAUACUGUGCGACUAGAGUGCAGAAGGGGCAACUGGAAUUCUCGGUGUAGCGGUGAAAUGCGUAGAUAUCGAGAGGAACACCUGCGGCGAAGGCGGGCUGCUGGGCUGACACUGACGCUGAUGCGCGAAAGCCAGGGGAGCGAACGGG
rnacentral:rRNA from 1 species